rnacentral:rRNA from 1 species
AUGAACGCUGGCGGCGUGCCUAAUACAUGCAAGUCGAGCGAACGGACGAGAAGCUUGCUUCUCUGAUGUUAGCGGCGGACGGGUGAGUAACACGUGGAUAACCUACCUAUAAGACUGGGAUAACUUCGGGAAACCGGAGCUAAUACCGGAUGAUAUUUUGAACCGCAUGGUUCAAAAGUGAAAGACGGUCUUGCUGUCACUUAUAGAUGGAUCCGCGCUGCAUCAGCUAGUUGGUAAGGUAACGGCUUACCAAGGAAACGAUGCAUAGCCGACCUGAGAGGGUGAUCGGCCACACUGGAACUGAGACACGGUCCAGACUCCUACGGGAGGCAGCAGUAGGGAAUCUUCCGCAAUGGGCGAAAGCCUGACGGAGCAACGCCGCGUGAGUGAUGAAGGUCUUCGGAUCGUAAAACUCUGUUAUUAGGGAAGAACAUAUGUGUAAGUAACUGUGCACAUCUUGACGGUACCUAAUCAGAAAGCCACGGCUAACUACGUG